rnacentral:rRNA from 1 species
GACAGAGGUGCCGAGCGUUAGGCGGAAUCACUGGGCUUAAAGCGUGUGUAGGCGGACUUCUAAGUACCUUGUGAAACCCCACGGCUUAACCGUGGAACUGCUUGGUAUACUGGUUGUCUUGGGCCAUCUAGGGGCUACUGGAACAAACGGUGGAGCGGUGAAAUGCGUAGAUAUCGUUUGGAACGCCAAUGGUGAAAACAAGUAGCUGGGGAUGUGCCGACGCUGAGACACGAAAGCCAGGGGAGCGAACGGG